ACAAAACAUUUUUAUGCAUGGGUUUGUGUUGCAUCACCAGCAAAGUGAACCGUUUUAGGAAGCAAACAGGAUAAGUCCCGCCCCUCUUUGUUACCAUGGCGAAAAUAUACAGUGAACUAAUCAUCUCUUUACCAGUUCUAGAAAGAAAGAAACACGAAUGAACGACAGAAGUGUGUUGUUUCGACAGAAAGAAGUCACACUUUUUCAAGUUUAAGUCCACCGACGUAAAGCUCCUGUUUGUGGGACAAAAUGGCCGACCGGGCUGUGAAUAAAACCAUCAAAGCAUCACUUUCACAUCUGACAAGAGUUCAGCAGCUACUUGAAUCUUGACGAGGAAACACUUACCUGAACAUCAAAUGAAAACUCAUCUAAAGUCUCCGUGUUUUCGACCUCCAUGGCGAUCCAUAAACACGUCGAUCCGCAGAUGUUCUCCAUAAACACAGGACUACAGAUGAAGGAGUAGA